UGUGUGUGUGUGUGUGUGUGUGUGUGUGUGUGUGUGUGAAUGUGCGUGCGCGCACCCACACACACACAAA